rnacentral:misc_RNA from 1 species
GAUGAAGAACGUAGCGAAAUGCGAUAAGUAAUGUGAAUUGCAGAAUUCAGUGAAUCAUCGAAUCUUUGAACGCACAUUGCGCCCGCCAGCACUCAGGCGGGCAUGCCUGUUCGAGCGUCAUUUCAACCAUCAAGCCCCCAGGGGCUUGUGCUGGGGCCCUGCGGCUGCCCGCAGGCCCUGAAAACCAGUGGCGGGCUCGCUAGUCACACCGAGCGCAGUAGCACAUCUCGCUCAGGGCGUGCGGCGGGCUCCUGCCGUGAAACCCCCCACUGUAACCCCAAAGGUUGACCUCGGAUCAGGUAGGAAUACCCGCUGAACUUAAGCAUAUCAAUAAGCGGAGGA